rnacentral:rRNA from 1 species
UACGGAGGGUGCGAGCGUUGUCCGGAAUCACUGGGCGUAAAGGGCGCGUAGGUGGCUUGGUCAGCGUGUGGUGAAAGCUCGGGGCUCAACCCCGAGUCGGCCAUGCGAACUGCCGAGCUUGAGCACUGUAGAGGCAGACGGAAUUCCGGGUGUAGCGGUGGAAUGCGUAGAGAUCCGGAAGAACACCGGUGGCGAAGGCGGUCUGCUGGGCAGUUGCUGACACUGAGGCGCGACAGCGUGGGGAGCAAACAGG